UCUCUCUUCCCCCCGAACUCGACGGAAAAUAGAGCAAAGCUUCGCCGGCUUUGUUCUUCCUCAUCCGGCCACCGUUUUCCUCCAAACCACCUCCAUCAGCUUCACCUCCCUCCUCCGAAGCCAUCUGUGGCAACCUUGAACUGCGGCACGGCCCCUAGCGGCGGCUGCGGUACGGUUUCGAUUAAAGCUCGAUUUUGGUCAACGCCGGUUUUCUCCUAGCUCCGGCCACCAAAACUUCCGAUCCUUGGCUCCAUGAACUCCCCUCAACCUGCUGAUCAUCAUACUAGGAGGAUUGCACCUAGAGUGACCGGUUUCACGUUCGUCGGAGCUCGUGGGUUCUUCUUGAUUUUAUUAACAACUCUCUAGAAGGAAUUGAGGCCUGAAAUUGAAGUUUUUACGUCGAAAAUCGAGCUCGCCGGUUUCUGGAAAUUCUCUCCGGUUUCUGGAACUUUUCCGGCCACCUUCAUACUGUUCAAGGUGAUUGACGGUCUUCCUUGGUGAGCGGUUUUGGUGGGUAUUGUGAAAGUGAAGACGCAGCGGGAUUAGAGCGGGAAGUCUUGCAGGUUAGGAGAUUCAGAGCGGUGAUCGUGCGGGUUAGAGUAAUGGUUUUAGUUUUACAGUGAUUGUAAUAGUGAGGUGAGUGAUGCUCAAUUUGAGCUUUACAUAUUUAAGUUGUAUAUUUGAGUUGUAAUAAAUAAAUUGCGUUUUGGAAUUUGAGUGACUCAUGUGUUAGUUGAUUUUUCAUGUUCCGGAUUUGAAAAAAGUUAUUCAAAAUUCGGGGCGUGACAGGAUGUUUAUCAUCCAAUUCAUAAGGCUACUGAUCUGUUUGGUGAUAAUCAGAGUGCCAUCAAGCUUGCUUAUAAUCCAGUGUGCCAUGCUAGAAC